rnacentral:rRNA from 1 species
UGGCACCUACGGGGGGCAGCAGUGGGGAAUACUGCGCAAUGGGGGAAACCCUGACGCAGCAACGCCGCGUGCGGGAUGAAGGCCUUCGGGUUGUAAACCUCUUUUGUCGGGGAGCAAAUUCCGCCACGUGUGGCGGAGUCGAGAGUACCCGAAGAAAAAGCAUCGGCUAACUCCGUGCCAGCAGCCGCGGUAAUACGGAGGAUGUGAGCGUUAUCCGGAUUUAUUGGGUUUAAAGGGUGCGUAGGCGGACUGUCAAGUCAGCGGUAAAAUACGGGGGCUCAACCUCCGCCCGCCGUUGAAACUGG